rnacentral:rRNA from 1 species
UACGGAGGGAGCUAGCGUUGUUCGGAAUUACUGGGCGUAAAGCGCGCGUAGGCGGCUUUGUAAGUUAGAGGUGAAAGCCCGGGGCUCAACCCCGGAACUGCCUUUAAGACUGCAUCGCUUGAAUCCGGGAGAGGUGAGUGGAAUUCCGAGUGUAGAGGUGAAAUUCGUAGAUAUUCGGAAGAACACCAGUGGCGAAAGGCGGCUCACUGGACCGGCAUGACGCUGAGGCGCGACAGCGUGGGGAGCAAACAGG